rnacentral:rRNA from 1 species
GAAUUACUGGGCGUAAAGGGCAUGCAGGUGGUUUGUUAAGUCAGAUGUGAAAGCCCGGGGCUCAACCUCGGAAUUGCAUUUGAAACUGGCAAACUAGAGUACUGUAGAGGGGGGUAGAAUUUCAGGUGUAGCGGUGAAAUGCGUAGAGAUCUGAAGGAAUACCGGUGGCGAAGGCGGCCCCCUGGACAGAUACUGACACUCAGAUGCGAAAGCGUGGGGAGCAAACAGGAUUAGAUACCCUGGUAGUCCACGCCGUAAACGAUGUCUACUUGGAGGUUGUGGCCUUGAGCCGUGGCUUUCGGAGCUAACGCGUUAAGUAGACCGCCUGGGGAGUACGGUCGCAAGAUUAAAACUCAAAUGAAUUGACGGGGGCCCGCACAAGCGGUGGAGCAUGUGGUUUAAUUCGAUGCAACGCGAAGAACCUUACCUACUCUUGACAUCUACAGAAGCCAGCGGAGACGCAGGUGUGCCUUCGGGAACUGUAAGACAGGUGCUGCAUGGCUGUCGUCAGCUCGUGUUGUGAAAUGUUGGGUUAAGUCCCGCAACGAGCGCAACCCUUAUCCUUGUUUGCCAGCACUUCGGGUGGGAACUCCAGGGAGACUGCCGGUGAUAAACCGGAGGAAGGUGGGGACGACGUCAAGUCAUCAUGGCCCUUACGAGUAGGGCUACACACGUGCUACAAUGGCGCAUACAGAGGGCGGCCAACUUGCGAAAGUGAGCGAAUCCCAAAAAGUGCGUCGUAGUCCGGAUUGGAGUCUGCAACUCGACUCCAUGAAGUCGGAAUCGCUAGUAAUCGUGGAUCAGAAUGCCACGGUGAAUACGUUCCCGGGCCUUGUACACACCGCCCGUCACACCAUGGGAGUGGGCUGCAAAAGAAGUGGGUAGUUUAACCUUCGGGAGGACGCUCACCACUUUGUGGUUCAUGACUGGGGUGAAGUCGUAACAAGGUAACCG